CUACGUAGGGGGCGAGCGUUGUCCGGAAUGAUUGGGCGUAAAGGGCGCGUAGGCGGCGCGGUAAGUCUGGAGUGAAAGUCCUGCUUUCAAGGUGGGAAUUGCUUUGGAUACUGCCGCGCUUGAGUGCAGGAGAGGUUAUCGGAAUUCCCGGUGUAGCGGUGAAAUGCGUAGAGAUCGGGAGGAACACCAGUGGCGAAGGCGGGUAACUGGACUGCAACUGACGCUGAGGCGCGAAAGUGUGGGGAGCAAACAGGAUUAGAUACCCUGGUAGUCCACACUGUAAACGAUGAAUGCUAGGUGUAAGAGGUAUCGACCCCUUUUGUGCCGGAGUCAACACAAUAAGCAUUCCGCCUGGGGAGUACGGCCGCAAGGUUGAAACUCAAAUGAAUUGACGGGG
rnacentral:rRNA from 1 species